UAGAUUUGGAAGUCUAGAUACUCACCAGUU
rnacentral:piRNA from 1 species